CCUACGGGUGGCUGCAGUGGGGAAUAUUGGACAAUGGGCGAAAGCCUGAUCCAGCCAUGCCGCGUGUGUGAAGAAGGCCUUCGGGUUGUAAAGCACUUUCAGUGGGGAAGAAAGCCUUGGGGCUAAUACCCUCGAGGAAGGACAUCACCCACAGAAGAAGCACCGGCUAACUCCGUGCCAGCAGCCGCGGUAAUACGGAGGGUGCGAGCGUUAAUCGGAAUUACUGGGCGUAAAGCGCGCGUAGGCGGUCUGAUAAGCCGGUUGUGAAAGCCCCGGGCUCAACCUGGGAACGGCAUCCGGAACUGUCAGGCUAGAGUGCAGGAGAGGAAGGUAGAAUUCCCGGUGUAGCGGUGAAAUGCGUAGAGAUCGGGAGGAAUACCAGUGGCGAAGGCGGCCUUCUGGACUGACACUGACGCUGAGGUGCGAAAGCGUGGGUAGCAAACAGGAUUAGAUACCCGGGUCGUC
rnacentral:rRNA from 1 species